GUACAUAUGAUGAUGGAGAUCAGUUUUCUUCUAUUGAUAAUCCGUGUGAAGUUUGUGAGUGUAAAGGAACUGAAGUGGUGUGUCACCACAUUGAAUGUGCAGUUUGCACACAUCCAGUGGUAGAAGACACUGAACAAUGCUGUGCUAAUUGCUCAGCAUGUGAAGUGGAUGGUGUUAUUUAUGGCAAUCUGACACGAUUUGUGCAUCCUUCUAACCCUUGCUUGCAUUGUGACUGCCAA